rnacentral:rRNA from 1 species
ACUCCUACGGGAGGCAGCAGUAGGGAAUCUUCCACAAUGGGCGCAAGCCUGAUGGAGCAACACCGCGUGAGUGAAGAAGGGUUUCGGCUCGUAAAGCUCUGUUGUUAAAGAAGAACACGUAUGAGAGUAACUGUUCAUACGUUGACGGUAUUUAACCAGAAAGUCACGGCUAACUACGUGCCAGCAGCCGCGGUAAUACGUAGGUGGCAAGCGUUAUCCGGAUUUAUUGGGCGUAAAGAGAGUGCAGGCGGUUUUCUAAGUCUGAUGUGAAAGCCUUCGGCUUAACCGGAGAAGUGCAUCGGAAACUGGAUAACUUGAGUGCAGAAGAGGGUAGUGGAACUCCAUGUGUAGCGGUGGAAUGCGUAGAUAUAUGGAAGAACACCAGUGGCGAAGGCGGCUACCUGGUCUGCAACUGACGCUGAGACUCGAAAGCAUGGGUAGC